rnacentral:rRNA from 1 species
GACGAACGCUGGCGGCGUGCUUAACACAUGCAAGUCGAACGGUGAAGCGCCUUCCUUUUUGGUGGGUGUGGAUGAGUGGCGAACGGGUGAGUAACACGUGAGUAACCUGCCCCCUUCUUCUGGAUAACCGCAUGAAAGUGUGGCUAAUACGGGAUAUUCUGGGUCUGUCGCAUGAUGGGUCUGGGAAAGAUAUUGUUUCGGUGGGGGAUGGGCUCGCGGCCUAUCAGCUUGUUGGUGGGGUGAUGGCCUACCAAGGCGGUGACGGGUAGCCGGCCUGAGAGGGUGGACGGUCACACUGGGACUGAGACACGGGCCAGACUCCUACGGGAGGCAGGAGUGGGGAAUAUUGCACAAUGGGCGCAAGGCUGAUGCAGCGACGCCGCGUGAGGGAUGGAGGCCUUCGGGUUGUGAACCUCUUUCGCCAGUGAAGCAGGCCUGCCUCGUUUGUGGGUGGGUUGACGGUGGCUGGAUAAGAAGCGCCGGCUAACUACGUG